rnacentral:rRNA from 1 species
CUACGGGAGGCAGCAGUGGGGAAUCUUGGACAAUGGGCGCAAGCCUGAUCCAGCAAUGCCGCGUGUGUGAAGAAGGCCUUAGGGUUGUAAAGCACUUUUGUUCGGGAUGAAGGAGGGCGUGCAAACACCAUGCCCUCUUGACGAUACCGAAAGAAUAAGCACCGGCUAACUACGUGCCAGCAGCCGCGGUGAAUACGUAGGGUGCGAGCGUUAAUCGGAAUCACUGGGCGUAAAGGGUGCGCGGGUGGCUUGCCAAGACCCCUGUAAAAUCCUACGGCUCAACCGUAGUGCAGCGGAGGUUACUGGUAAGCUUGAGUAUGGCAGAGGGGGGUAGAAUUCCAGGUGUAGCGGUGAAAUGCGUAGAGAUCUGGAGGAAUACCGAAGGCGAAGGCAACCCCCUGGGCCAUCACUGACACUGAGGCACGAAAGCGUGGGGAGCAAACAGGAUUAGAUACCCCUGUAGUC